rnacentral:rRNA from 1 species
UACGUAGGGUGCAAGCGUUACUCGGAAUUACUGGGCGUAAAGCGUGCGCAGGCGGUUGUGUAAGUCUGACGUGAAAUCCCCGGGCUUAACCUGGGAAUGGCGUUGGAGACUGCACGGCUAGAGUGUGUCAGAGGGGGGUAGAAUUCCACGUGUAGCAGUGAAAUGCGUAGAUAUGUGGAGGAAUACCGAUGGCGAAGGCAGCCCCCUGGGAUAACACUGACGCUCAUGCACGAAAGCGUGGGGAGCAAACAGG